UACGUAGGGUGCGAGCGUUAAUCGGAAUUACUGGGCGUAAAGCGUGCGUAGGCGGUCCGCAAAGUCUGAUGUGAAAGCCCCGGGCUCAACCUGGGAACUGCAUUGGAAACUAACGGGCUCGAGUGUGGCAGAGGGGGGUGGAAUUCCACGUGUAGCAGUGAAAUGCGUAGAGAUGUGGAGGAACACCGAUGGCGAAGGCAGCCUUCUGGGCCAACACUGACGCUCAUGCACGAAAGCGUGGGGAGCAAACAGG
rnacentral:rRNA from 1 species